rnacentral:lncRNA from 1 species
GAUCCAGUCGAUGGUGGCCGCGCCAGUGAAUACUAACAGGAGAUGGGAGAUCGGCGCCCUUGCCCUCGCUCGGUAGCCGAUCCCCAUCGCUACCUCCUCGCAGCCUCCACGAACACCACAAGACUCCUCCGCCGGAAGCCGCCUGCCGAUUUAGCUGGAUCAAUACGCCGCCAUCGGCGAGGGUGCGUACGGCCUCCGUCCCAGCUGCCGCGCCGAUCUGAGCCAGCGUGGGAGGAAAGGGAAAGGUGGGGAAGGGAGGGGGGGAGGAGCUGGCGGACGGACGGACGGACCUGCAGGGUGUGGGCCGGGAGCUGCCAGCCGUGCUUCCGCGCCAUGGCCCCUCUCCUCCGAUCGCCGGGUCGCCUCCCCGGCGGCGCGCGGCAGGCCAGCUCCCCGCUGCUGUUGGGGUGGGCUGCGUGCUCUCCCGCUGGCGACCCUCAUGCCGGCCGGUUACAUGGGAGAGAGGUUGCGUGUGUGGGCUUCAAACCCGAGGGGUGUGGCGGUGGAGACGGAAGGAGAGGGUUAUGCGGGAGAGAGGUCAAAUCCCGAGCCGUUUUUACCUUCGCAGGGAAGGAAAGGAUCCAUCGCAAAUUU